rnacentral:misc_RNA from 1 species
CAGAUUUAGCAUCUUUCCCCGUUGAAGAUAUUGGGUUUAGAGGGGCCGUUUGGACAAAGGAAGAGCAUUGAAGCUAUUAAGGUAUCAAUGCGUGUUAUGCUUCAUGUGGCGACAGCAGCAAAUUACUCCACUUAUUUGAGGUUUCUUUCAAAAUAAUGAGACUUCAAAAGUAAUCGAACUUCUUCAUAAAAUGGCAGCAGGAAAUGUAUCACCAGAUGCAUCCAGUCUCAAUAGUGGUAGGCUUACUCUCAAAGGAUGAAAAAUAUCAUGAAAUUUGAACUUGCUUCCAACAUUUCCUGUUCAAGAGCCAGCAGAACGUUGAUAUGAUGAAUGUAAUCUUUAAAUAGAUUAGUUGGCAUAAUUCUUUGUUGAAUUUGCUAUUUUAAUAGCCACAAGGAAUAGGAAUCUAUUUAUAUGAGGCUUCUUACUAGUACUGGUUGCCGAAACUGUUGUCAGGUAUUUCGCUUGGUGACUCAGAUGUAAGGUUCAACUUUAAUAGAAUUAACGCUCAUGAGGAAAGCAAGCGAAAUACCUGACAACAGUUUCGGC